UUUUUCUUCAGGGCAUUCCUGGAGAUCCUGGACACAGACGAAUGCCAGGACACAGGGGAGACAUGGGUAACCCUGGGCCGAAGGGUGUGUCAGGUCGAGGAGGGACCUGGGGCAGAGAUGGUGAGCAUGGCCUGGAUGGACAGCCAGGGCCACCGGGAUUGCCUGGGCUUCAGGGUCCUACAGGCUAUAAGGGAGAGAAUGCUCCUCCAGGGGAGAGAGGAGAUGAGGGUUUCACUGGCAAGACAGGUCCAUGUGGAGACAGAGGGAAGACUGGAGAGAAGGUAACUUUUUAAAUAUCAAAAUUGCUACUCUUUAAACCUUUUUUAUUCUUAAAGUGGGAAGUAGGCUGAUGUUGUUCUGCACAUGUCCACAAAGUGUUAUUGCACUGCUCUCUAGUGGAUGGAAACAUCAAUGGCUGCUUUGCUCAACACCAGACCUGGUUUCUUUUCAACUCAUCCAAGCCUGUUUGGAACAUGCUUGUAUUUUUUUUGCACUUUCACUAUCAAGGGCACACUUAGAAUAUUUGUAUAUAUUAUAUUAAAUAUAUUAAUUCACUUUUCACGAUCAUGAUCAUCUGUAGCCUAUGCUUAUUAAUGUAGUUUUCCCCAAGUGUAGACAUAUUUCUUGCUAUGUUCUCCAGGGUUCUAAAGGAGAGCCAGGGGAACCAGGUUCUGUUGGCCCACUUGUGAGUAGAACACUUUUAUCCUCUGGCCCUAAUUCAGCUCUCAAAUGCUGAUAAGUGCUGAUGUUUUGACUGUACUGUGGGUAAUACAGAUGUGGUUUAUUAAGCUUGUGCAUCAUACAAUAACUAUUUUAAUUUCAGGGGCCGGUUGGUAAAAGAGGAGUCCAAGGAUUUUCAGGGUCACUUGGGCCUCAGGUAAGACUUUGAAUAACAAUCAAUAAUCCUAAUGGAAUACAACUGUGUUACAAUCCAUGCAGCCACACUAUUUGAUGGUGGGGUGUUCUAGAUCAGUGGUUUCCAACUCCAGUCCUCCAGUACCCUCAACAGCACACAUGUUUGUUGUUGCUCUGAACAAAAAACAACUGGUGCAGGUGUCCCUAUCUCUUCUGUUUUUCAGGGUGAUUCUGGGUAUGAUGGCGCCCAAGGUCCAUUUGGGCCAAUGGUGAGUGUAGGAGUAUCAUGCAAGCUCUUACGGUUACUAUCACAUCUACCUACUUUACUGCUGCAGUCAGAACACACUUGACAAAUCAGUGCAGACGUACCACUUGCACAGGAAAACAAUGGCCGUUGUUUUUUUUGUGUUUGCCUAUUCACAUAUGUACUGUAUGUGCCCAAACAGGGGGCUCCAGGUGUUACUGGUAUGAUUGGAGCACAGGGGGUGAACGGCUCAAGGGUCAGUAUACUGUAUAUACCAAUGCAUAGUGGGCAGUGGAUUGAUGAUUGAUUGGCACAGACCAAAAUUGUGUAGCUGGUCUGCACUCAAAAUGGAGAUUCAAGGUUUCUAUUUCAUUCAGGAGUGGGUAGAUCAACAAACAUUUUGGCCUAAGCCUUCAACAGUGUCAUCCUCCUAAGGUGAGAUUCUUUAGUGUGAGCUCAUUAAAGGUAAUGACCAACAGGUGCAUUCAUGUGUGCUCUCCUGGAACAGACACACAUUUUUUAUUUCACCAGUCAAGUCCGUUAAGCUCCAAUUUUUAUUUUCAAUGACAGCCUUAUUCAGGGGUAGAAGGACAGAUUUUGACCUUGUCAGCUCAGGAAUUCGACCUUGCAAACUCUUAAUUACUAGUCCAACGCUCUAACCACUAGGCUACCUGCCGCCCCUCAAUAAGCCAUCUCAAUA
rnacentral:lncRNA from 1 species